rnacentral:rRNA from 1 species
UACGGGGGGGGCAAGCGUUGUUCGGAAUUACUGGGCGUAAAGCGUGCGCAGGCGGCUUUGCAAGACAGAUGUGAAAUCCCCGGGCUUAACCUGGGAACUGCAUUUGUGACUGCAUGGCUGGAGUGCGGCAGAGGGGGAUGGAAUUCCGCGUGUAGCAGCGAAAUGCGUAGAUAUGCGGAGGAACACCGAUGGCGAAGGCAACUCCCCUGGGCCUGCACUGACGCUCAUGCACGAAAGCGUGGGGAGCAAACAGG